GGCGGCGUAGCCAAGUGGUAAGGCAGAGGUCUGCAAAACCUCCACCCACCGGUUCAAAUCCGGUCGCCGCCUCCA
rnacentral:tRNA from 1 species